UAGGGUGCAAGCGUUACUCGGAAUUACUGGGCGUAAAGCGUGCGCAGGCGGCUUUGCAAGACAGAUGUGAAAUCCCCGGGCUUAACCUGGGAACUGCAUUUGUGACUGCAUGGCUGGAGUGCGGCAGAGGGGGAUGGAAUUCCGCGUGUAGCAGUGAAAUGCGUAGAUAUGCGGAGGAACACCGAUGGCGAAGGCAAUCCCCUGGGCCUGCACUGACGCUCAUGCACGAAAGCGUGGGGAGCAAACAGG
rnacentral:rRNA from 1 species